GACGAACGCUGGCGGCGUGCUUAACACAUGCAAGUCGAACGAUGAUCUCCCAGCUUGCUGGGGGGGAUUAGUGGCGAACGGGUGAGUAACACGUGAGUAACCUGCCCUGGACUCUGGGAUAACCCCGAGAAAUCGGAGCUCAUACCGGAUAGGACCCUGUACCGCAUGGUGUGGGGUGGAAAGUCUUUUCGGUUUGGGAUGGACUCGCGGCCUAUCAGCUUGUUGGUGAGGUAAUGGCUCACCAAGGCGUCGACGGGUAGCCGGCCUGAGAGGGUGACCGGCCAAACUGGGACUGAGACACGGCGCAGACUCCUACGGGAGGCAGCAGUGGGGAAUAUUGCACAAUGGGCGCAAGCCUGAUGCAGCAACGCCGCGUGCGGGAUGACGGCCUUCGGGUUGUAAACCGCUUUUAGUAAGGAAGAAGGGGAGCUUGCUCCUUGACAGUACUUGCAGAAAAAGGACCGGCUAACUACGUGCCAGCAGCCGCCGUAA
rnacentral:rRNA from 1 species